GGCUCCCUACGGGGCGCAGCAGUGAGGAAUAUUGGUCAAUGGGCGCGAGCCUGAACCAGCCACGUAGCGUGAAGGAUGACCAUCCUACGGGUUGUAAACUUCUUUUAUAAAGGAAUAAAGUGAGGCACGUGUGCCUUUUUGUAUGUAUUUUAUGAAUAAGGAUCGGCUAACUCCGUGCCAGCAGCCGCGGUAAUACGGAGGAUCCGAGCGUUAUCCGGAUUUAUUGGGUUUAAAGGGAGCGUAGAUGGGUUGUUAAGUCAGUUGUGAAAGUUUGCGGCUCAACCGUAAAAUUGCAAUUGAUACUG
rnacentral:rRNA from 1 species